CCAUGAAGAGGAAGAAGAUGUUAUGCACUUUCCCUAGGAUGUGAAGAUCUGGAGAUCACCAGCAAAUAGCACCAAAGAGAUGGCACCAACGAUUUCCUUCCUUCCUUCCUUGGAGGUGGUGGCUAGGGUUUGUUUCCCCCUCUUAAGAUGGUGUGCAACCAAAGUGAAGGAGAGAGAUGAGGGUUUUUUUGAGAGAAAAGCCGUAUUGUAUUCCACACACAUUAACUGUUACAAUAAUGAGUUUAUA
rnacentral:lncRNA from 1 species